GACGAACGCUGGCGGCGUGCUUAACACAUGCAAGUCGAGCGGUAAGGCCCUUUCGGGGGUACACGAGCGGCGAACGGGUGAGUAACACGUGGGUGACCUGCCCUUAGCUCUGGGAUAAGCCUGGGAAACUGGGUCUAAUACCGGAUAUGACUCCAUGACGCAUGUUGUGGGGUGGAAAGCCUUGUGCGGCUAGGGAUGGGCCCGCGGCCUAUCAGCUUGUUGGUGGGGUGAUGGCCUACCAAGGCGACGACGGGUAGCCGGCCUGAGAGGGCGACCGGCCACACUGGGACUGAGACACGGCCCAGACUCCUACGGGAGGCAGCAGUGGGGAAUCUUGCGCAAUGGGCGAAAGCCUGACGCAGCGACGCCGCGUGAGGGAU
rnacentral:rRNA from 1 species